UACAGAGGUCUCAAGCGUUGUUCGGAUUCAUUGGGCGUAAAGGGUGCGUAGGCGGCGCGGUAAGUCGGAUGUGAAAUCUCGGAGCUUAACUUCGAAACUGCAUUCGAUACUGCCGUGCUUGAGGACUGGAGAGGAGACUGGAAUUUACGGUGUAGCGGUGAAAUGCGUAGAUAUCGUAAGGAAGACCAGUGGCGAAGGCGGGUCUCUGGGCAACACUGACGCUGAGGAGCGAAAAGCGUGGGGAGCGAACAGG
rnacentral:rRNA from 1 species